rnacentral:rRNA from 1 species
CUGAGUUUUUAACUCUGUUAACCAUUUGUGAAUUUACCAAACAUGAACUGCAUUGGCGGGUCUCCCGCCGGCAGUACUCUUGAACUCGUUUUUAUAUAAAGAAUUUAUUCAUUGCUGAGUACCAUUUUAUAAAUGUAUUAAAACUUUCAACAACGGAUCUCUUGGCUCUAGCAUCGAUGAAGAACGCAGCGAAAUGCGAUAAGUAAUGUGAAUUGCAGAAUUCAGUGAAUCAUCGAAUCUUUGAACGCACAUUGCGCCCAGCACUACUCUGCUGGGCAUGCCUGUCCGAGCGUCAUUUCACCACUCAAGCUCUGCUUGUUGUUGGAGAGCCUGUGCUAUGCGCGGGCCUCUGAAAUGCAUCGGCUGUGUUACAUGCAGUUUCCCUGUGUAGUAAAACUUUAUUGUUGCACUUUGAAAUUCUUGUACUACAUGCCGUUAAACAACCCAAUUUUUUUAGGUUGACCUCGGAUCCGGUAGGAAUACCCGCUGAACUUAAGCAUAU